rnacentral:rRNA from 1 species
UACGUAGGGGGCAAGCGUUGUCCGGAUUUAUUGGGCGUAAAGAGCGUGUAGGCGGCCAGACAGGUCAGCUGUGAAAACUAGAGGCUUAACCUCUAGACGUCGAUGGAAACUGUUUGGCUAGAGUCCGGAAGAGGAGAAUGGAAUUCCUGGUGUAGCGGUGAAAUGCGCAGAUAUCAGGAAGAACACCCGUGGCUAAGGCGGUUCUCUAGUACGGUACUGACGCUGAGACGCGAAAGCGUGGGGAGCGAACAGG